AUAACCCAUGAAACUCAUAGCUGCUGCUAAAACUGGAAGUACUAUUGUGAACGAAUUAACAAUAUGUUAAUAGCUUUAGAAAACUACAGGCAAUAUGAAAAUAGCUUGCCAGUUUUUUUACACUGGCAUCUGCUUAACUUCUGAUGCUCAUAUUUUUUUUUUUACAAGUCUUUCACUGUUGACACAUAACAUCUCCAAGAGGAAUUUAUUAUAUUUCACAGCCUCGUGGGUUUGCUGCUUCUGAGUCACUUGGAUGUCCACACAGCUGCUGCAUCUGCAGCCAUCUCCCAGGUUUGUGGCAAUCAGAGUUUUUCACAGAGCUCUGAUCGUGAGUGAUUAC
ensembl:lncRNA